GACAAAAGCCGAUAUUGUUAUUUUUGGUGUAACUAAUAAAAUACCUAGGUGUAGAUACAUGAUUUGUUCGUCCGAAUGUUCCUAUUAGCAUUUUCUAUACAAUUUUUAAAACAAUUUCACUCUUUUUGAGCUCGUUAUGGGGAUAAUACAUUUUUAUAUAAUCGAUUAGUUUUGUUUUUAAUAUUAUUGUCAAGAAAAAGUGUCAAAGAAUUUGAAAAUGUAAUACGGGCAUCCUGUUAUAGUUUCUAUAAUAUCUGUUCACAAAUAUAAGAGAUACAUGGCAACCAUUUUUCAUGAGCAUUUAAAGUUCAUCUAAAUUCAUCAACAAUUUGGAAAUUAUUUUGUAUUUAAAAGUGUAUUAAAUGUUCAAUUGUAUAUGUUUUAGCUUAUGCUUAUAUUAAAAACUGUUAAAAAUUGAUCAUAGUCAUAUUAAUUACCAAAUUGAAUUAAAUAUGUAAAUUAUUGUUUUACAGGUUGUCAUACCCGUUCCCAUUAGCAACGAGGAGAGACAAACUUCUUUGAAAAAACAUUAUGCAAUUACCAAAAAGCUUCAGUGGCUGUCAUUAAAAUUCUUCAACUGUCGACAAUGCACAUAAUUGAUGAAGACUUUUAAACUAGACAUUUUUGAAUGGAUAAGUGUAUUCUUUUCAGUAAAACAUCCAAAGUGUCGCCUCGCCAAAUUACGUACAUUUUCAUUUAUUUCCAAAAAAUCAAUGAAAUAGAAGGAAAUAAUGGCUAAGAAUGUUCGAAUUAAAUGAU